AAUCUGCCCCACUAGUCUGGGAUACCACUUGGAAACAGGUGCUAAUACCGGAUAAGAAAGCAGAUCGCAUGAUCAGCUUUUAAAAGGCGGCGUAAGCUGUCGCUAUGGGAUGGCCCCGCGGUGCAUUAGCUAGUUGGUAAGGUAAAGGCUUACCAAGGCGAUGAUGCAUAGCCGAGUUGAGAGACUGAUCGGCCACAUUGGGACUGAGACACGGCCCAA
rnacentral:rRNA from 1 species